AUACGGAGGGAGCGAGCGUUAAUCGGAAUUACUGGGCGUAAAGCGCGCGUAGGCGGCUUUGUAAGUCGGAUGUGAAAGCCCUGGGCUCAACCUGGGAAUGGCAUUCGAUACUGCCUGACUAGAGUAUGGUAGAGGGAAGUGGAAUUUCCGGUGUAGCGGUGAAAUGCGUAGAUAUCGGAAGGAACACCAGUGGCGAAGGCGACUUCCUGGGCCAAUACUGACGCUGAGGUGCGAAAGCGUGGGGAGCAAACAGGAUUAGAAACCCCGGUAGUCC
rnacentral:rRNA from 1 species